rnacentral:misc_RNA from 1 species
GAAAUCCGCAUACAUACUGGAAUUCAAAGUGCUCAAUAGUCUCAUAAUUUUCAAAGUUUGGCAAUAUGAACCCAGGUAACACAGAAUACCACAGAUGCUUCUAUUAAGGCAAAACUGAGGCACCCUGGAGACUUGACGCCAGGUUAGAUGACCGUCACCCUCACCUGAACCAUGGGUUUUAUUAUUUGCUCACGGUCUCUUGAAUGUGUUCUUAUAGGUGC